GGCGGACGGGUGAGUAACGCGUAAAGAACUUGCCCUUUAGACUGGGAUAACAGAGGGAAACUUCUGAUAAUACUGGAUAAGUUAGUAUAUCGCAUGAUAUGCAAAUGAAAGCUACGGCACUAAAGGAGAGCUUUGCGUCCUAUUAGCUAGUUGGUAAGGUAAGAGCUUACCAAGGCGAUGAUAGGUAGCCGGCCUGAGAGGGUGGACGGCCACAAGGGGACUGAGAUACGGCCCUUACUCCUACGGGAGGCAGCAGUU
rnacentral:rRNA from 1 species